GCUGGGGGAAGCUGUUACAUGCUUUCCAAGAGCCCUGUCUGAUCCCUCCAGAAGGGCCGGAAAAGAAGUCAACUUCACUCUCUUUGUUCCAGAAAGCCAUCCCAUGGGGUGCAGAUCUUGGGGGCCAUGGGUGGCUCUGACUUGGCUUUUGGCAGCCUGUGUUUUCUUUGGGCUCAGCCCAGGAGCACAUGGAAUAACCUGCCGACGGUGCAGAAUCGAGGAGCCAGGGUCGCGGUGCUUUCCAGCAACAACAUACUGUAGAGUUGAUCAUGGGGGGUGCUUAGCCGAGAGACAGUAUAAAGAUGGCAAAUUGCUGAAAAGAAUCAAGGACUGUUAUAUAAAUGGUACCAGAUGUGAAACCAAUUGGACAUCUCCCGAAGAUAGAAUUGAACACGAGGUACGCUGCUGUACCGACAAAGACUAUUGCAACAAAACACUGUAGAGUGUGGGUGAUGACAAACAUAACAGUUAAGGCUGAAAUCCUAAAAACACCUCUUGUGGAACUCAGUAGAAUUUCCUUCUGAUUAAACAUGCAUAUUAUUGCUCUAGAUGAAAAAUUGCAUCCCUACUUCUAAUGUGUAUCGGCUAGAUUUGAAAUUUCUUUCUAAUAAAAAAUAGAUAGAUAAUAGAAUAUAAUUGACAAAUCACAGAGCAUAUUAUUGAAAACAUUUAUCUGUACAAAUGGUCACAAUCUUAAUAUUUAUUUAGGACUGUAAAAACACCCUGAUGAUUGUGUUGUAGCACCACCUAGAAAUCCAGUGAAGAACUAAGUAAACAUGAUUUUAAAUGCUGGCUGCUCUCUCUGCAAAUACACUCAGCUUCAGUGACUCCUUAAUUCCCAUUGCGCACCAUGUUCAGAGUGGUGAAAAGUUGAGGCUCUUCCUCAUUUCAUCGGAGGCAUGAGUUCCUAAUCAGCUUUCAUGAAUCUGAAUGAAUUUUCCAUGGGUGCCUGUUCCUGCACAAACAUUACCACAGGACCUGGGACUGUAGCCUUGUGUGUAUCUGAGCCUUUCUUCAUAUACAGUAUUCCAUUGCCAUUG